AUGAACGCUGGCGGCGUGCUUCACCCAUGCCAGUCGAACGGAAAGGCUCCUGCUUGCAGGGGUACUCGAGUGGCGAACGGGUGAGUAACACGUGGGUGAUCUGCCCUGCACUUCGGGAUAAGCCUGUGAAACUGGGUCUAAUACCGGAUAGGACGAUGGUUUGGAUGCCAUUGUGGAAAGUUUUUCGGUGUGGGAUGAGCUCGCGGCCUAUCAGCUUGUUGGUGGGGUAAUGGCCUACCAAGGCGUCGACGGGUAGCCGGCCUGGGAGGGUGUACGGCGACAUUGGGACUGAGAUACGCCCAAGACUCCUACGGGAGGCAGCAGUGGGGAAUAUUGAACAAUGAGCGCAAGACUGAUGCAGCGACGCCGCGUGGGGGAUGACGGCCUUCGGGUUGUAAACUCCUUUCGCUAGGGACGAAGCGCAAGUGACGGUACCUGGAGAAGAAGCACCGGCUAACUACGUG
rnacentral:rRNA from 1 species